AUUCUCUCCAUGUGUAAAGUUUAUGUACACUCGUUGACGAUUUAAAUGAAAAUAAACGAACCGCAGCCGGUUCGUCGCGUCGCGCGUUUGUUCCGGGAGUGCCGUUUAAAGUAAUUGAACUUAAUCAGUUCACGGGCGUAAUUUUAGUGUAUUUAACGCGAGUGUUCCGCGAGUGCAACGCGACGAGAAGACGCGAGGAAGGCACUAAGAUCUGAGAGAAAGAGGAAGCCUGGUACAGGCAUCGGACCUCAGCGGAGCAACCUUGGGGUUGGCUAGGACCUUUCAUCUUGGAUCGUCGGACCUUUCAUCCCGGAUACGUGUGGAGGACGUUUCAGGAGGACUCUAAGAUGCGACAGCCAAUAGAAAGGUAAGAAUCACUUUCUCGUAGCAAUCGUUAAACUAAUAAAUGCAGCGAGAUGCAUUGCGAAGCACCGCGAAUACGUGUAUUGAUACAGCGCAGUCUGGAAACCGUCAUACUGUUUCCAAUACGAUCCUCUAAGUGCAAGUUGUUCGUGGCGAAAAUGGGGUAGUAUGUAUCUUCAAUCACGGGUAUUCUCGGCAUCUCUCCCACUCUCCCCAUCGGAGGGUCUGUUAUCAAUACCAGCGUCACGCUCUCGGCAUUGUGCCGCGGUUCGGUACUGCCGCGAGAAACAACGCGCGCGAACAACAACAACAAACAACAACAAACUAGACCGCUAUGAAGUCUGCCGCGCGCUGUCCGUACGUACCUACCUACCCGCGACCUGCUUUUCCGACAUUGUCACCAGACCAUCUUCAGUUAUCGUGCCGAUUUAUAGCCAUGACAGUUUCUAUUCUUACUCCCUGCACGUUCUCUCAAUGAAAGUUUGCUACUGUUUUACGCAAUCUUGCGAAGACAGGACAUUUGGAGCAUCUAUAGCUUAGAAAAGACAUAUAACAAAUUGCUAUGAUUAAAUAUGAACUUUAAACCAGUAGCUUUCAGUAGCUAUCCUACUUGCAUACUACGGAUAGUUGAAUACC